GGCCUCUCCUGUGGCUCACCACAGACUCUGUUCUUACGCUGACCAUACAGACAGAGGGGGCAGAGUAACCCACCCCUAUAUACCCCAGCCCAUGCCAUUUGACUGGUCCAUGUUGUAAAUGGGGGACAUGG